CUUUGUCCUACUUUCUGGAGAAUGUCUUAACCACAUCCUCGAGCUCCUCUUAAGGAGUGGAGUGUGUGUGGCAAUUAGACACAUGGUCUGAAGAGUGGGAUCCUGAACUGUGCUCUGGGAAUUGCUGACCGCAUAUGAGAUUUCUCUUCACUAAUAUAAACAGUGUUCAGCGAGAAACGUAAGUUCAUUCUUUACAUUUGCAAAAAGCUCUAAGAUGUGGUAAAUAUCAAAGGUUAAUAAUUAGCUCUUGAAACUUGGUAAAAUGAGAGUUGUAUUUGUUCUCAAAUCAGAAUUUCAUAGAGAUAGGAAAUCAGACAGACAGACAGAUUCCUAAUGUAUGUAGAAUUAUAUGCCACUCUUUCUUGGGUUUAUUGAAGUGGCAGACAUAUGCAAGCUUCCUUUCAUCUGAUAGCCAUAGAAACUUCUUGUUAAAAAAAAAAAAAAAAGAAUCAGGAGCUGGAGAAAUGGCUAAGUGGUUAAGGGUAUUGCUGUUUCUACAAAGCACACUAACUAGUUCAAUUCCCAGGACACAAAUAAGGUGACUCACAGCUCUCUGUAACUCAAGAUCCAGGGGUCUCAUGGCUUCUUCUGACCACCUUAGGCACACACACACACACACACACACACACACACACACACACACGUGUUAGUUACUGUUCUAUUGCUGUGAAGAGACACCAUGACCUUGGCAACUCUUAUAAAAGACAUCAUAAUUGGGACAGUCUUACAAUUUCAGAGGAAAACUUACAAGUAUAUAAUCAUGCCAUCCUGUUACAUAUUUUUCAUCUCCAUACUAUUCUGCAAUUUUAAAAAAGAUAAUUCAUUCUUGUAUUUAUUUUCCUAUCUUACUAAUAUAUAUUGUAUCUGAGUUUCCCCUGUAGCAGUUUGCCCCUGACUAGACCUGACUGGGACUUUAAUCCAGCAGAAGGUAAGGGCCUCCUGAAGGUCUACUGCCAGGCUCCAUUGGCAUGUUUCAAGGGGGCCUACAUGACAGACUACGAAUUUGACCAAGGUACAUGAGGUUGGAUAGGAAUCUGAUGAGUCACUUUCAGACUUUCUAGAGAGACUCAUGGAGACAUUCUGUCAGUAUACACCCUAUGAUCCCAGCAGCAAGGAGCAAAAAGCUACUGUGAGUAUGGCUUUUAUAGACCAGGCUAGUAGAAACACCAGGAAAAAGCUUCAGAGGCUAGAGAGAUGACAGGAUAAGUUGUUGAUUUAGUGCAGAUUGCUGAGAAAAUCUACCAUACCAGGGAGACAAAGGAGGAGAAGGAGCAAAGAAAGAGAAAGAAAGAAGAUGAAAGGGAUAUAUAUAUAUAUAUAAAAAGAAAAGCAACAGGAAGGAAUUUAUAGAGAAUCUUGACUGCAGUAGUUAGAGAAAGUAGGGAAUAGAGACUCCAACCAAAGAGAGACAGAAAACCUCUUGAAAAGGACCAGUGCACAUAUUGCAAGGAGAGGAGCCUCUGGAUCUGAGAGUGCCUUAACAAACAGAAGCCAGGUGCAGGAAAUCCCAGGUCUUGGGAAAAGCCACACACACACCCCAACAGCAAAGGUGUUAGCCUUCAGGGAGGACAGUGACUAAGGAGGAUUAAGUUCGGACCCUCUCCCCGAACUCAGAGUAACUCUGAGAGUGGAGAGGAAACUCACUGAAUACUUGGUGGGCAUAGGAGUUCAACACUCAGUCCUCCAAGCCAUUGGCCCCAUUUCUAAGAAAAAUUCUUGGAUCCAAGGAGCUGCUGGCACCAAAAUGUAUUCAUGGACUAUCUGAAGAACAGUGAAUGUGGGGUGGGCCAGGUAUCCCAUUCAUUUAUGGUCAUCCCAGACUGUCCCUACCCUCUGUUGGGGUGAGACUUACUCUCCAAGAUGGGGCCCCAGAUACACUUCCUGCCCUACUGGCCACAACUAACUGGUCCAAAAGGAGAGAGAGUCCAUGGGUGGAGGAAAGACCUCUCUGACGGAACACUGCUGGAAACCAAUGCUACCUGGUUUAUAGAGAGACUAGAGCAGUUUUCUCCAUGAAGGUCAGAGAUGAGCCAGUGCUGCCAUGGUGGAAAGCAAAAAUAGUAUAUGACAGGAACCUCACCUCCCCCCUACCCCGCAUCGGCACAGAAAGUGGAGCUAAUUGCCCUCACCAAAGCCUUGGAUCUUGGGGCCGGCAAGAAAAUUAACAUCUACGUGGAUAGUAAAUAUGCCUUUGCCACAGCCCACAUCCACGAGGUUAUAUGCCAAGAGAUAGGACUGCUCCCAUCAGAGGGAAAAGAAAUAAAAAUCAAACAAACAAAUAAACAAACAAA